CUUGCGCAAUGGGCGAAAGCCUGACGCAGCAACGCCGCGUGCGGGAAGAAGGCCCUAGGGUUGUAAACCGCUUUCAGUAGGAACGAAAAUGACGGUACCUGCAGAAGAAGGUGCGGCCAACUACGUGCCAGCAGCCGCGGUGACACGUAGGCACCAAGCGUUGUCCGGAUUUAUUGGGCGUAAAGAGCUCGUAGGCGGUUGAGUAAGUCGGGUGUGAAAACUCUGGGCUUAACCCAGAGCCGCCACUCGAUACUGCUCUGACUUGAGUUCGGUAGGGGAGCAGGGAAUUCCUAGUGUAGCGGUGAAAUGCGCAGAUAUUAGGAGGAACACCGGUGGCGAAGGCGCUGCUCUGGGCCGAAACUGACGCUGAGGAGCGAAAGCGUGGGUAGCAAACAGGAUUAGAUACCCUGGUAGUCCACGCCGUAAACGUUGGGCACUAGGUGUGGGUUCCAACCAACGGAAUCCGCGCCGUCGCUAACGCAUUAAGUGCCCCGCCUGGGGAGUACGGCGGCAACGCUA
rnacentral:rRNA from 1 species